rnacentral:rRNA from 1 species
GUCCAUAACGACUCUCGGCAACGGAUAUCUCGGCUCUUGCAUCGAUGAAGAACGUAGCGAAAUGCGAUACUUGGUGUGAAUUGCAGAAUCCCGUGAACCAUCGAGUCUUUGAACGCAAGUUGCGCCCGAAGCCAUUAGGCCAAGGGCACGCCUGCCUGGGUGUCACCAA